rnacentral:rRNA from 1 species
GACGAACGCUGGCGGCGUGCUUAACACAUGCAAGUCGAACGGAAAGGCCCUGCUUUUGUGGGGUGCUCGAGUGGCGAACGGGUGAGUAACACGUGAGUAACCUGCCCCUGACUUUGGGAUAACUUCAGGAAACUGGGGCUAAUACCGGAUAGGAGCUCCUGCUGCACGGGGGGGGUUGGAAAGUUUCGGCGGUGGGGGAUGGACUCGCGGCUUAUCAGCUUGUUGGUCGGGUAGGUGCGUACCAAGGCUUUGACGGGUAGCCGGCCUGGGAGGGUGGCCGGCCACAUUGGUACUGCGGUACGGCCCAGACUGCUACGGGCCGCAGCAGUGGGGAAUAUUGCACAAUGGGCGGAAGCCUGAUGCAGCAGCGCCGCGUGCGGAAUGCCGGCCUUCGGGUUAUAAACCGCUUUCGCCUGUGACGAAGCGUGAGUGACGGUAAUGGGUAAAGAAGCACCGGCUAACUACGUG